rnacentral:rRNA from 1 species
UCAGCUCGUGUCGUGAGAUGUUGGGUUAAGUCCCGUAACGACGCGCAACCCUUGUCCUUAGUUACCAGCACGUUAUGGUGGGCACUCUAAGGAGACUGCCGGUGGCAAACCGGAGGAAGGUGGGGAUGACGUCAAGUCAUCAUGGCCCUUACGGCCUGGGCUACACACGUGCUACAAUGGUCGGUACAAAGGGUUGCCAAGCCGCGAGGUGGAGCUAAUCCCAUAAAACCGAUCGUAGUCCGGAUCGCAGUCUGCAACUCGACUGCGUGAAGUCGGAAUCGCUAGUAAUCGUGAAUCAGAAUGUCACGGUGAAUACGUUCCCGGGCCUU